GACUAAUUGCAAUCACCUGGGCGUGCGGGCCUGGUGUCAUGGGUACAUAACUUCCUUCCCGACAAACACAAAAGAAGCUCUCCCAAAUUGUUUGGUACGCAAGUUGCUUGUCGCUGGUCGGUACAAACCGCGCACUUCAUGCUGGGUUUUGGUUGCGAACAACUCCCUCGCUGUGGUCUGGACUGUCAUCUCCUCCCUACUCCUGUUUCCCUGUGACUACCAAUGCGAAUGCUGAACGUGGAGCUGACACACUUCCCUCCUCUGCUCCUGUUCCCCUGGGCUAGCUCGCAUUGUGGAAAAGGCCGAGGUAGGCAUUGGUUAUUGUUCUAACAGUGUAACGGUCCUAUUUUAAAUAUGUAUCUGGUACAAUGUUUUCUUUUUUUACAUGUCGCUUGACUUAUGAACAAUUAAACUUCAUAAAAACUGUUGUGUAUUGUUAUGAAAUGCGACAUAACCAUGGACCAGGGUGUUAAACGUUUCUCUCUGUUGUAGAUCACAGCUGGCUGUCUAUCACAGUUUGACCACUGUUUUCCCCCAUUAGAGUUUCUUUUGGUAUUAGUCAGUGUUAAACUAACAGCACGUCAAAGUUGGAUGUACGGUAUGCUUGUUUGUGUUGGUUUAUUUUCUUUGUGUUGUAUGCUUGUCUGAGUGUGAUACACUGGUGCAUUUACACUGUUUGCCAGGGUCUGUUACACGACCAGGUGUAGUGCUGUUGCCAUCCCUGAGCUCAUAUUAGCAGCCAGUUAGCGAUUUCAGACUGUUACUCCGAGGCUAUUGAGACUUAUCCCUCCCCCCGGUAGUAUUAGUUUUUAAUGGGUUCUUGUAACCCCUGACUUAGCUUAUCCACACGGGAGACUGUUACUCCUGGGGCAUAGGGGUCUAUCUAUGCCCCAGGUGGUAUUAGUUCAUAUUGAGUUCUUUGUGACUCCCAACCUAGUUUCUCCACACAGUAGACUGUUACUCUUGGGCCAUAGGGGUCUAUGUCCCAGGUAGUAUUAGUUCAUUAUAGCUUCUGCUAUUCAUUGUAGCUGUAUCGGUAGCACUCCACUGGCGCUGAAUAGCGUGUUUGUCUUGUUUUUGUUUUGUCUUGUAUUGUUUCCUUUAUUGAAUGCCCCCUCCUUCCCCCUGUUUGCUAGUAUGGCCUGCUAGGUCUAUUAGGUAACACAGUUAAGGUACUCUAGGACUGCUGCCUUCCCCUAGUUUGCGGUGAGGGCACAUUCUAGUGGUUGAGCGUGUACUGAACACCUAUUUAUACUCGUGUGGGUUGUAUUUAGAAAGCUUGAGUGUUACACUUGUGUUUGUGUGUGUGUAUGGCCAUAGAUCACUUUUGGGGCUGGGCAGCCAUCCGAGGGUUACUGUACCUGUGUUAAUUCAGGCCGUGUAGCAGCCACCAAUCCACUGGGCAUUUAAUCUAUGGUUAUGUGUAUUACCUUUUGUUUUCUUUGAUUAUUUUGUGUUGUGUAUUGUGAUUUUGUUUUUAUCGGAUUUACCUACUGUACGCCCCUGCCAUCCGUUUUAAACAAAGAAAAGAAAUAAUAAAUAUAACAUUGUUUAUACUA